GGAAUCUUGUCCAAUGGGCGCAAGCCUGAGACAGCGACGCCGCGUGCGGGACGAAGGCCUUCGGGUUGUAAACCGCUUUCAGCAGGGACGAAGCGUAAGUGACGGUACCUGCAGAAGAUGGUCCGGCCAACUACGUGCCAGCAGCCGCGGUAAUACGUAGGGACCGAGCGUUGUCCGGAUUUAUUGGGCGUAAAGAGCUCGUAGGCGGCCGCGCAAGUCGAUUGUGAAAACUCGGGGCUCAACCCCGAGCCUGCGUUCGAUACUGCACGGCUAGAGUCUGGUAGGGGGAUCUGGAAUUCCUGGUGUAGCGGUGGAAUGCGCAGAUAUCAGGAGGAACACCGGUGGCGAAGGCGGGAUCCUGGGCCAGUACUGACGCUGAGGAGCGAAAGCGUGGGGAGCAAAC
rnacentral:rRNA from 1 species